GAAAUGCGAUAAUUAAUGUGAAUUGCAGAAUUCAGUGAAUCAUCGAGUCUUUGAACGCACAUUGCGCCCCCUGGUAUUCCGGGGGGCAUGCCUGUCCGAGCGUCAUUGCUGCCCUCAAGCACGGCUUGUGUGUUGGGCUUCCGUCCCUGGCAACGGGGACGAGCCCAAAAGGCAGUGGCGGCACCAUGUCUGGUCCUCGAGCGUAUGGGGCUUUGUCACCCGCUCCCGUAGGUCCAGCUGGCAGCUAGCCUCGCAACCAAUCUUUUUAACCAGGUUGACCUCGGAUCAGGUAGGGAUACCCGCUGAACUUAAGC
rnacentral:misc_RNA from 1 species